UACGAAGGGGGCUAGCGUUGUUCGGAAUCACUGGGCGUAAAGCGCACGCAGGCGGAUCGAUAAGUCGGGGGUGACAGCCCGGGGCUCAACCUCGGAAUUGCCUUCGAUACUGUCGGUCUCGAGUCCGGGAGAGGUGAGUGGAAUUCCUAGUGUAGAGGUGAAAUUCGUAGAUAUUAGGAAGAACACCAGUGGCGAAGGCGACUCACUGGCCCGGUACUGACGCUCAGGUGAGAAAGCGUGGGGAGCAAACAGG
rnacentral:rRNA from 1 species